GUGCUUGCUUCGGCAGCACAUAUACUAAAAUUGGAAUGAUACAGAGAAGAUUAGCAUGGCCCUGGGGCAAGGAUGACACACAAAUUCGUGAAGUGUUCCAUAUUUUU
rnacentral:snRNA from 1 species